AACGCGAAGAACCUUACCUGGGCUUGAACUACGGAUGGUAAGUCCUUGGAAACAGGGGCUGACCCGCAAGGGAGUCCGCAGAGGUGCUGCAUGGUUGUCGUCAGCUCGUGUCGUGAGAUGUUGGGUUAAGUCCCGCAACGAGCGCAACCCUCAUCCCUAGUUGCCACCGGGUAAUGCCGAGCACUCUAGUGAAACCGCCCCGGAUAACGGGGAGGAAGGUGGGGAUGACAUCAAGUCCUCAUGGCCCUUACGGGCUGGGCUACACACGUGCUACAAUGGCGGUGACAAUGGGAUGCGAAGGCGCAAGCCCUGGCAAAUCUCAAAAAGCCGUCUCAGUUCGGAUUGGGCUCUGCAACUCGAGCCCAUGAAGUUGGAAUCGCUAGUAAUCGUGGAUCAGCACGCCACGGUGAAUACGUUCCCGGGCCUUGUACACACCGACGCGUA
rnacentral:rRNA from 1 species